rnacentral:rRNA from 1 species
CCUACGGGAGGCAGCAGUGGGGAAUAUUGCACAAUGGGGGAAACCCUGAUGCAGCGACGCCGCGUGAGUGAAGAAGUAAUUCGGUAUGUAAAGCUCUAUCAGCAGGGAAGAAAAUGACGGUACCUGAGUAAGAAGCCCCGGCUAACUACGUGCCAGCAGCCGCGGUAAUACGUAGGGGGCACGCGUUAUCCGGAUUUACUGGGUGUAAAGGGAGCGUAGACGGCGGUGCAAGUCUGGAGUGAAAGGCGGGGGCUCAACCCCCGGACUGCACUGGAAACUGGACGGCUGGAGUGCAGGAGAGGUAAGUGGAAUUCCUGGUGUAGCGGUGAAAUGCGUAGAUAUUAGGAGGAACACCAGUGGCGAAGGCGACUUACUGGAGUGUAACUGACGUUGAGGCUCGAAAGCGUGGGGAGCAAACAGGAUUAGAUACCCUGGUAGUC